rnacentral:rRNA from 1 species
GACGAACGCUGGCGGCGUGCUUAACACAUGCAAGUCGAACGGGUCUGCCCUGUUUUUUGCGGGGUGGGUCAGUGGCGAACGGGUGAGUAACACGUUAGUAACCUGCCCCUCACUUCUGGAUAACCGCUUGAAAGGGUGGCUAAUACGGGGUGUUCUGGCUGUGCCGCAUGGUGUGGCUGGGAAAGAUUCACUUUUGUGGUGUUUUGGCGGGUGAUGGGCUCGCGGCCUAUCAGCUUGUUGGUGGGGUGAUGGCCUGCCAAGGCUGUGACGGGUAGCCGGCAUGGGAGGGUGGGCGGUCCUACUGGGGCUGAGAUGCGGCGCAGACUACGGGGGGCGGCAGCAGUGGGGGGUAUAGAACGAUGGGCGGAAGCCUGAUGCAGCGACGUCGCGGGAGGGAUGGCGGCCUUCGGGUUGUGAACCUCUUUCGCCGGUGAAGAAGGUCCUGCUAUUUGUGGUGGGGUUGACGGUAGCCGGGUUAUGAAGCGCCGGCUAACUACGUG